rnacentral:ribozyme from 14 species
AGAAAGAAAGAAAGAAAGAUGUACACGACAACAACAACAGAAGAACUCUGACAUUUUCCUUCUUCCAUGCAUGUUUUUUUUCUCCUUUUUCAUUCAACUUCCUC